rnacentral:rRNA from 1 species
CAACCUAUCUUUUUCGCCCGGGAUAACUAGCCGAAAGGUUAGCUAAUACCUGAUACGAUCAUCGAGUGGCAUCACUUGAUGAUGAAAGCAGCAAUGCGCGGAUUGAGGGGGCUGCGGCCCAUUAGCUAGUUGGUGAGGUAACGGCCCACCAAGGCAACGAUGGGUAGCUGGUCUGAGAGGACGACCAGCCACACUGGGACUGAGACACGGCCCAG